rnacentral:tRNA from 1 species
CAGGAAAUAGUUUAUUAAAAUAUUAAUUUUGGAGAUUAAAGAUAGAGAAAUAUUUCUUUUUCUGA